CAAUAGCGUAUAUUAAAAUUGUUGCAGUUAAAACGCUCGUAGUUGAAGUUAAAUCGGGCUUACUGUGGUCGUUUACUCGUUCUGCAGUAAUGCCUGAUCUCGUGGGUAGCGUUUUGUUACAAAAUUUCUCCCCGCGGAGUUACUUUGAGAAAAUUAGAGUGUCUCAGGCAGGCGUAAGCCUUGAAUAAGACAGCAUGGAAUAAUAAACAAGGACUUUCGUUCUUAUUUAUUGGUUCGUAAGACGAAGGUAAUGAUGAAUAGGGACGAGUCGGGGGCGAUUCGUAUUUAACUGUCAGAGGUGAAAUUCUUGGAUUUGUUAAAGACGGGACUACUGCGAAAGCAUUUGCCAAGGAUGUUUUCAUUGAUCAAGAACGAAAGUUAGGGGAUC
rnacentral:rRNA from 1 species